AAGGCAAAGCAAGAAGGAGUGCGUUACUCAGUGUCUGUCCUCCCAAAGGGCACUGUGUGCAGGUGCAAGUUAAAGUGCGUAGCUGGAUGGGGGAAGGAGCGAGAAGUACCCAAAGUACAUCAACAGAUGGAGAUUUACCACCCUGAAAGACCUUGAGUACAUCUCAUGUUUCUGUAUUAACAUAAGCAAAUUGAUUCCUAAAUAUUGAUGAUUUAAUCAUUUCCUUGUCCACACAAUGUAUAUAUUCACACCUGCCCAACCCUUGAGGUCUCUUUGCUUUGGCUGCAGAACGCUCCAAGGACCUGAAAGCCCCGAGCGCCCUUCCCCCUUUCCUUGGAUAUCCACCGUGAUGGGGAAGGAGCUGAAAACCCGACACUCCUCUCAUUGCUGCAGGGGCUGCCAGCAGAGUGAGAGCUGCCAACCCUGCGCAGUGCUCCCAGGUACCGACCCGUGGGCUGCAGCCUGGGGACGGCAGUGCUCCCUGGGGCUGAGCAUCCCUUGGGGAAGGGGCUCUGCCUCCCUGCAGUGGGAAACUGCACAAGGAGAGCGUUGGAUCGUGCUCCUGCAGAGGGGAAUAUGUCCCCUGUUGGCCUCUCGGCAUCCUCGUCUGCAUUCCAUGGGCGCCUUUCAGGUGCUGGCUGGCUGCACUGCUGGCUCUCUGCCUUAAGCAAGGGCUGGAAGAACGCUGGGCUGUGGGAAUGGUUGGGAAGGGACACUCGGGUGGGCUUUGUACCAACCUGGGUGAGGAGGAGACACAGGCUCCGCAAACUGGAUGCUGCUGCUGCCCCAGGAAACCUGGCAAAGAGAAGGGGAGAGGAGGGUCUGGAGGUGCUGUAAUGCCUCUUUCUGCACACUGAGGUGUCCUAACACCCAGCUCCCUCUGGCGCUGCUGCUGCAUCCAUUUAAAUCCCUCUCGUGUUUGCUGCUCUCAGGACUUGAAAACAGAAGAGGGAACUGCUUCGUCUGGCAGAUGAAGGGCAGGAAUCAAACAAUACAAAUACAUGGGCGGUUAUUGAGAGGGCUAAAUAAAACACAAAUAAAAUGCCUGCUUUCAUGC